CAUCCACCCAGGCCUCGUCGAGGUUCAGCAACCCCCCGGCCCAUCAAAGACUGGCUAAAGCAUCAGCCAUAAAUGGGGACAAACGUGGGGCCAGCAGCUUCUGUUCGGGGUCUCGGCAUCAGCAAACCGCAGCAGCUUUGGAGAAGGCCCUGCGUGCACCCCCAAUGCUGCUGGCCCACAAAUCACCGUGGGCCACGGCCCCACCACACCAGGCUUGGCCCUGUCAGCAGCCAGCAUCCCGAGGGCCAGGGUCCGAGUGUCCUCACCAAGGAGGCUCUUGGCGUCGCUGUGCCGGCUCCCAUGGGCCUUCUGCUGGGUUGAGG
rnacentral:sRNA from 1 species